rnacentral:tRNA from 1 species
GCUUUUAAAGGAGAAUAGCAUUCCACUGGUCUUAGGAUCCAGCCCAUCCCGGUGCAAAUCCGGGUAAAAGCA